rnacentral:lncRNA from 1 species
GGCCCCCAAUGGCUCCUGGAGCUCUGAUCAUAUCUGAUCCCAUCAUCAGGAAGGAAGAAGGGGUGAAGAGAGGCACACUCCACCUCUACUUACAUCCCAUUGGCAGCCUGCUGUGGAAGCCAGGCAAACGUGAAAAGGAGGAGGCCUUUGGAGUAGAGCCACUGUCCAGUCUCGCAGGUGUCAUGGGGAAGGACAUUCAGCAAGCAUUAAGUGCCUACACCAAGGAGAGUGCUAGACCCAGGAAAAGCAUAACAAGU